UUCCAAGAAUGUUUAGUUUGGUUUGUUUCUAGUUAUGAGCGUAGUUAUUGUUCAUCCUCCUUUGUAAUAGCAGCAAGUUUUAAAAUUAUUAUAAUAAAAUUUGUGUGUUUGGUUUGCAGAGCACUAUUUUUUGUACUUUCUUCCUAACGGGUAAUUAAGAUUAUUUUGAAUGGGGCUAUCCGUUACCUGCAGGAAUACCAGAAGCUUCUGACUGCACAACAGAACACCUGAAUUCAGCUCUCGGCUUGACUGGGUUUGAUUUUGUAGUUGGUAGUUUUUCUUCCACUGUUUUGGCUAUGGCUUGAUUGGUUAUAUUCAAUAAAAUUCUCUCUCUUGUCUCAAAAAAAAGUUUAUUAACUUAAAAGAACCUACAGCUAAGGGAAAUGUGAAAAGUACUAAUUUUUUUUAAAUGGUACCAAAAGAUUGAGAUUUAAAGUUUAAAAUUUUUGUUAGGGGAAUUAGAGGUAUUCACAGUGUUGUAUUGCGUUGCAUCACUUGCUGGAUCUAAAUCUGGAUAUAAAUUUUGGGCUUUUUGUGUGGUGGUAAAUACAUUUUUGCUUAAAAACAUUAUGGACAAGUAUAAUUCUUUCACAAAGAAUGAGAACGCAGAAAUUUGAAGCUUAUCUUAAUGGGUUGGAGGGUGAGGUUGUGCCGUCGUGGGUGAUCCAUUGGGUAUGUAGGUGCAGGCAGUGAGGCUGAAGCAGCAAAGAUUGCGCGCUUGGUGGCAUCUUCUUCACUUGUUUUGUUAAGCAGGGUGCUGUAUAAAGGCAGAGAUCCAAAUUGGAAGCGCAUUGCUGCUGCUGCAGGUUAUGCAGGGAUUUCUUUCCACCAGAACAAGCUUCGAAUAUUGCUAGGAGACAUUCUGCUCAUGGAUGCUGGGGAACCACAACCGUUUGACCUGUAAUUCUAAGUCUUGACUUUUUAGAUAAAACCAAGAAUUAGUUCAUUCAAAAGAGCUGCAGCAAGUAACUAUCUAAGGAAGGCUGGUGAAACCCACAAUACAGUUGAAAUUCUUAUAUCAGUUGGUAAGCUUCUGAAGUACGCAUGAAGCGUCAAUAUGCUACUUUUGCUCUCUAUUGACAGUGAAUUCAAAAACCAAGUCUACUAAUAUUAGCUAGCUAAGGGAUCACACUCGCUUAGAGGGUGGGAUCGACAUAAUUUUGUAAAAAAUACCACCAAAAAAAAAUAUAUCUGCAAUUCGGCCUGCUAACUUUUCUUUGCACAAUGAAUACUAGUAUUAGUAUAGUAUGUUAGUCCAUAAACUAAAUCCAAACAGUUCAGUUAGGCUUACAUCCCUGCUUAUGCUGCAGAUUUGCUUGGUUGUUGAAGGGCUAGGAUAAAUGAAUUCUCUUCUAAAACAAUUUAAAUAGCUACUUCACUUUUUCGAAAACAAUGUGUUAUCUCUUAAAGUGAACAAGUCCGCUAGCUGAAUUUAGUAUUGCUUAUUGGGCUGCCAUCUUCAAAAAUUGAGAUUUACUCUAGUAUGUGGUUGACAACUCACGUUUCGUUACCCAACAGUUGAUGGCUCCAAAAGAAUAAAACAUUCUCACCAGCUGGUCUUGUUUUGAUGAGGUUAACUUUCCUAGUCUUGUGGCAUUGCAUUUGUCUUGCCUCAUAUCUUCUUCCAAACAGGUGAUGGCUUGGGAAGCAGGCAAGCAUGUGGAUGCGAUUUAAGUUGUGACUAUGUCAAAAUAAAUGCAGAAUACAUAACAUAGAAGAAUUCGUGUUGUGUCAUCUCAUAUUUCUUCUCACUUCACAGGAUUUUUAAACAAUAAAGCCCACUUAUAUCACAUUUUGCUUCUUGGAUUAAUAUUUUAUCAUUGUUGUAUCUUACCGGUGACAAGGUUAGCAUGUGUGUUUUUCAAUGAAGAUCUGCUUAUGCAAAUCAUUUUUCUGCAAUCAACACAAGCUAUUCCUUGAUGUUGGAUUGAGAAGAAUUGAUAUUCUCUACUCAAUGUUACAAAUAUAUUUCAAAGCUCAAUCCUACUAUCAUAAGAAAUAAUUAAAAGUUUAACUGGAUAUAGCAUAGAAAUCGAAUAAAGGUGUCUGCAGUUAAAAACUCCUUCCCAUGAUAUAUUACAUGAUCAGCCUAAAACAUAUUCAGUAUUCAUGUGGCAUAAAGCCAACAAAUUUGUGGUAAGUUAGCAACAGAAACAUAUUCCCCAUUCCAAACAACCCCUUAAAGCACAUUCCCACACCAAUAUUUAUCUUGAACAUGAAUCUCUACCUUGAAAAAGGAAAAGUAAUGCCUAAAUUCUAGCAGCACUCAAAGGUGUACAAUUGCAUUACAAGCUACAUCACAGAGGAGAUUCCUGGCCAAACAAGCGCAUCUCAAAAUGUUACUGUUGUGUGUCAAAAUGGAAGUUCAAGAUAAAACCGGAUCUUCCAAAUGACCUGUCUGUCACUUUCCCAGGAAAAUCCAUCGCUGUGAAUUUUCUGGUACUAUCUUUGUCCAACUCCCUUUGUUUUCCAUCAGAUUUUGUUUCAACUUAAACUAAGGCAUAGAAUCAUUUUGUGUUUAGUAGAGUAAAUUUUUUUUUUUGAUAAGUAGUAGAGUAAAAUUCUUUGUAUCUUGGACCUUGGUACUGGAUAGUGAAAGCUUAAAGAAUGAAAAUUUUAUAUCCCAUCUUAUGUCCAAAUAAAAUAGAUGGAAUUUGGUUUUUGUUUUGUUCUGUUUGUUUUACAAUUCAAAUGAAUUUGUUUUCAGAAACCAAAUUUAUUCAUUACAUUGUCAAAAAUCUUGUCAUUGGUAGAAACAUGUUUGAUGGGGCCUAAUUGUGUUGCUUGUUGUUAAUUUCAAGGUGUUACAAGUGAAUAUUUCUUAGGACUUGAAUAUUAUUAGUGUGAAUUGUUUAUAGGGUUUUGAGGUUAGUGGCUCAGAUAUUAAAUGGAGCAGCCACAUGGACAGCUACGAGUCAUUCAGGUUUGAAUUUUAAAGGGAGUGAUGGGCCAAGAUUACCUAAUGUGAUUGUUGUUUCAAGUGCUAUUCCUCAAGACAAUGUGGAGAUUUUGCAUGCAAAGUCUGCUGGAGUGCCUGUGAGUACGCACAUUAUUGUUUUUGCAAGCAAGAGUACAACAGCAAGUAUGCUGGCUUAUGUUUUGAAAGCAAUGGGCGAUGAUCUUACAGCAGUAAUUGGAGCACGUGUGCCACAGUUAUCCACUUUACUUUGAACUCUGCAGUAGAGCUGAAUUUUACACAUAUAGAUGGUAUGAGUCUCGGAUUGUGAUAUGACCUUUUUCAAAGAUUAAGGCCUGGCAUCUCACCACAAUAUGGUGAGUCCCAUUACCAUUACCUACUAUAAACUCAAGCUUUCCUCCCCAAAAUGCUUCCUCAUAUCUGUAUGCUGCAACACCAAUGCUGUAUAAGAAGUUCAUGAAUGCUGCUUAUAUGAUUUUAUCUAUUCUAGAUUCUGAUUCUGGAAUUUCCUUGAAAGGGACACAACAGUCCAGAUACACGUUCUUUGCUAAAUCACAGGAGACAAGCCACUGGAUCAGAGUAUUCCAGUAGUGUGGUGUUGGCUUCAAACUUGGAGCUAUUUGAUGAGCAUUACUGAAUAACUACUUAUGGAACCUCGAGUCUUAAUGAUUUGCAUGCAUCCUCAAUUCGUCCCAACUAUCAUGGUGGCAGUGAUUACACACUGGUUGGUUAUAAUUUUAUUUCUACAUCUGUGGUUGCCCCUAAUGUAGACCCAACCUAUAGAAAGCUAAAGCACAUACAUAUUGAAGCUUCUUUGGCCUUUGGAAAAGGAUUUUCCAAAGUUGUGAUACAAAUUUUGGCAGAAAUUCCUCCAAGGAGUAGGCAGCCAUCCAAUCAUACAACAGUUUCGAGAAAAAAGGCUUCAGCUCUAGCAAUGAGUGUUCAAUCCCUCUGCCAGAAUGCCAUCCAAAUUCAGAAAUUCAUGCCUUGAUUACAUGGAUUUUCUAAAAGUGAAAUUUCUAAGAAAUAAUACAUUCAUCAAAUCUAAUUUAGUACUUGAUUAUCUGCAGUUCCGUUGGGAGUUUCCAGAGGUAGAUAUCAGUCUACAGAUUCCUGGUUUCAGAAUGUCCUCAAUUCAUUAGCAACAUUUUGAGAUGAUUGGUACAAUCUGUGCAGUUCUUCAAGCAGCACGUCAAAGGUUCCCAUUCAAGGCUAUAUGGGUGGUAUUCCAAGUUUCCAACCUCAUUUUUACAGCUUUUUUCUUUCGCAGACGUCUAGAAGAAUUGAAAGAUGAAUUUGCCACUGCACUCGGUGAUGCAGAUCAUGUUGUGGUUACAGCGUAGAGUCAUCUUGGUCCAUAAUCUUUGUCAUUUACAGUUGCUAAGGGCAACAGUUUGAGUUAUGGUGUCAGGUUUAUGCUGCCAGAGAGUGGUUUUUGGGAUGUUGGUGGAAGUGAUUUAGCUGCUUCUAUUAAUGGCACACCAUUUGAAUAUAUCUCCUCACUGGAGACUGUAGUUGAUGAGUUGGUGGUUCGGAUAUCCAAGGACCUUAAUCGCCAAAUUGUUGUUUUGACCCGACUUGCCUCUUCUACUUUGGCAAGAAAUGACUUGUGAGUCUGUGACUGACUGUCCUUGUGUGACUUCCGUUUGAUUCUUCUAUGCAAAGAUGAACUGGUGACCGGUUACGUUAUUGGUAAUGGGAGUUUCUUCUAUAUGCAUGGAUGGAUAUGGAACUAUCAAGAAGAAAGCUGAUGACACAGUGACACUGCAACUGCUAAUUGCGUUCCAUGUAAUGAAUUUGCAUUUCCAACUUGUGCUGUACUAUGUUCCCAUUUAAGGAAAACGGAAA